GGCGGAACAACAUGGCACAUUUGUUCCUUUCCUGGGUCUUGCCUAGGGUGUGGAACAGCCGGGCUUGGAAGUAAAGAACAUCUCUGAGCUGCUCUUUGCAGUCCACCUUGGCAAGCUUUGUUAACAGUGAUUGUGCAGCAGGACUUCAACGUACACACUGGGGAGCACUUUUCAAGGGAGCUCAGUUCAGAGGGGAGAGUUACCCCCAACAUUACCUUCAGCCUUCUUUUGUUGACUGUAGGAAGCUGUAGAAGCCACCUGACACUUGGCCACCAAGAACAUGGCGCAGCCUUUGUCUAACACAGCUCCAUGGGCCAAGCCAGGUUCUAUUGCCAUGUGCAAAAUAUUCAGGACUUGCUCAGGAACGCCAAGGAUCAGCUGAAAGAGAAACACUUUGUUGUUCUAAUACUGGAAUCCGCUGGUUGAGAGCAGCUUCUUCUCAGAAGGACCGUAACCCAUAAACCAAAUCUGUUUCUAACACAGUAAUGCUGCAGAUAAGGAUGUUAUUUUUUACCCCACAAUCAUCUUGUAAAUCACAACUCUUUAGGAGACAGGAGCUACUAUCUGAAAAGAUCAGGCAUGGCUUCUCCACCCCAGUCAGUGCUGACAACUGGGUCCCUGCCAGCUCAGAAAAAACAAAGUAACCCAACUCCAUGACAAGCAUUAUUUACAAUUCAGGCACAUGCCAAACUGAGCUACUAGAAAGCCAAACAAACAGCAUAAAAAUAACAACUGGAGAAAUGAAGGCAGGGCCAAUUCAUGCUUGCUUAAUUACAUAAAAUAGCUACCCAUCUUACUGAUGAACACGGAACUCAACUUUCAGCUUCCUCCUCAGAUUUUACAUUUAGAAUAUACUUUAUCAGAAUCGAUAGUUUAAUUCCAACAAGGUUAUGUUCUUAAAUCUCCCAGGAGUAAAAACAGUAUCCAGAUCCCCAGCAAAAAAAUGCCCUAUGACCCCGAGAAUACACAAAUCAAACAUACCUGGGAGAAAGCCAAGUUCAGCACGGUCUCAGAAGCCAAGUAUUGCAGACUAUAUUCUCGAGAGAAGGCAAGAGCCUGCAGCAGGACAGGCAAAGCAAUGGUAUGACACGAAGAUCUCCAGUAGAGCUCUGCUACUGACAGCAGCACACUAACCAAAAAGAGAGGGAAAGAACCAUAAACUGUUUUCUUUUGAUGAAAAGAAACUCGUUUCCCAAACAAUUACCCUACCCACAACAAUACUGAUUUUAUUAUGAAUUACAUUUCUGCAUAUACAAUAAACUUAAAUUGUACUCUUAAGAGGAGAUGUCAUCUCCUGACAAAAAGGGAAAUAACAGUAACUACUCUGUAGGUCAGCACAAAGGCACAAUUACAUACAUGUUUCUACUUUCUAUUUAUUUUGCAUGCAUUAUUUUCUUUUUCCAUAAAUCUUCACAAAGCUCUAAAUUUACCACCUUUUAGUUUAUAUGAGGUUACGAGGCUUCAAUUCUGUAAUGAUUUGAGGAUUCCUCUACGCCAUGUUUAACAUAUGAAAUUAUUUUGUAAUCCCCAAAUCAUUCUAAGUAAUCUGAGCACUAGUGAAGUCUGCACACAGACAAAUGGAAACGGCAGAUUCUAAUCACUGCAAAGUAGCUUUAAUACUCUGAAAAUGAAGUAUUCUUACCUAAUCACUAUCUCGGUGUUCUUGAUUUCCUGGCAGUGGAUCAACAAUUUCUGCAAAAGCUUGUGUGCUUCUAACAUCUGAUUUUGGGCUUUCAGUACAAUGGCUUUUCUGCCGUGGGAGAAAGAAAACAUCACUGAUAUCUCUGCAAUUGAGAUAUAAUUCUGCUCUUCAAAAUACAGUAAAGCAGGUCUCUACUUUGUGACCUCUGUUUCUUGUGACUGCAGAAUGGCAUUCUGACACAACACACGCAUGCUGUACACACAAGCAGAGCGAGAACCAGGAACCUCUGCUUGCUGGACAUCUCAUAGGCAGAAAUGAUCGAACUCAUGAAACAGCUUUAGAUGGAAAACAAGGAUUGCCAAAAACAAGGGCCAAACAGGGAGCAGAAGUGGGAGGGCAUGCAAACUGGAAAGCACAAGUGAUUAUUUGUGGAAGAAAAACAGAUCUGAGGUAGGGUAGCUAAAAUUGGCAUAAGCCAACAAGGACAAAGAGUGAGAGGGAACGAGUGAGAGCAGGGAAAUAAGAGACAAACACGGAGCUGUGGGAGAUGUGUAAAAGCAGCCCAAACCCGUAUACUGUGUGGUAUAUUUAAAGAUCAGGGAACAACAGACAGUCCAAUUCCAGAAGGACAAGCAUCAGGUCCCACAGCUUGAAUGCCGAUCUGCCGGCUCACUGCCAUUGGCUGUGUUUUAGGUGUUUUGCCUCAGUUAAAAACAAUUGCUUCCAACAGCAAAUUUUCUUUAUAUUGGCAAUCAGCAAGCUUUAACCCUAUCUAUUUCUAACUUUUUCAUUUAGGAACAAGAACAAAUUAAGGUGAAAGAAAAAAAAACGUAUCGUCCCACUUUGGAGAUGUGUAAACUAGGACACAGAUGAAGACAUAACUCAAUCUCAUACUGUAGCAGGAUUGAGACUUGGCCUUACAUCUAUCUUAUAUAAAACUCUGCAUUGUGCUAAGGUUUGAGCACAGUUACCAUGGCAGAUUUUGAAGGAGUAUUUUGUGUUCUCAGGCUAAAUCGACAGCUCCAGAACAACAGGAAUUUCACUGGUGCUACUUUUGAUUUUAAAAUGCCCAGAUGAGCAACUAAAAAUGAUGACUGGGGACAUACACUAAAGGAAUAAGCACUGCAGAUCGGACAACAUGACAAUAAUUAACUCAAGAAAGGGGAGAAGAUUAGCACAAAUGACUGCCAGCAAUCAUUUUGCUUUAUUUUUCAUUAUCUUCGUGGGAUACACCUGCAAGCACAUGCAGAUUCAUGCUUACUUACCUGUACAUUCCUUCAAUGCUAUUAAGUGCUGUAAUUCCCGCUACAAGAGAAUCUGCUAUAUGGUAUCUGCCAUCAUUCAUGGCUCUUUCAAACUGUAUUUUUUGAUCAAACAGCAUCCAAAGCUAAACAAAGAACAUCCAGGAACAAGUUUUAGAAGUUGUACCUGCUCAUUUUCUAACCACAAGUUAGAACUUCAUUUUUAUUUUGCCCUGGGGAUGUUUAUGUCUAGACACAACUAACUCCACUGUCCAAUUACUGCCUUUACUAAAUUACAAUCCUCAACAGAAGUGCUUAGGUCUGGAAUAACGUUUCAAUACUACAGUUCACCUAUUUGAUUGCACCUUAAGUAAAAAAGCAUUAAAAUCAUGACUAAUGCUUUAAAAUAAUAGACGUAUUCCACAACAAAGAAAGGAGGACCAGACUAAUUUCAUACAGUCUUGAACAGUUUAAUGUAAAUAGUAUGUUUUAGACUGAUAUGGUAACGUGUUUUCCAGUGUUGCACAACAGAUGACCUCUAGGUUAUUUCUGAAGUGUAAUACAUCAAAAUAAUUACCACUAAUCAAGCAGAACUUUGAAGCUCCCAAUCAGUGCAGACUAUUUAAUUUCUACAUGUGCUCACGAAGCAGACAUGUUUCCCUCUGUCAAUUACAGCUCUGUGUAAGCAGCUCAUUCCUAGGAGGCUAUUAAAACAACCAACACAUCUUUUUCAUGUUUCUGUAGAGAGUUCACGCCACGUGGCUUCUGGUGGGGUCAUGAGCCAAAUGAGAUCAGUGAACAUGUGGCCCCAGGCAUAUGGAGAAAAGACAUGAAUUCAGACACGAUGGAAUUUAGAUCCUAUUGUAUAACAGUUACGUAAUAGACAAGUUAAAUUAUAUAUAUUCUACCUGUGCAUGCUGACUAUUGGGAGGGAAUCUCUCCUUUAGAUGUUUCAGUAUUUCAGAAGCAGCUGCAAAGUAGCCCUGUAAUACAGAAACAGCACUGAUAAAUAUAGAGGAGAGCAAGCAUCCUUCCCCUUGAUUUUAACACAACCUUUACAGCAAGAACUUUGCCAGGCACAAGCCUUAUAUUUUCUUCACCCCCAGUGCAGACAUUAAAGGCAGAACAAAAAACAAUUCAAGUCUCACACUUUGUCAAUACCACCCACACCCAAAUGACUUUUUGUGCAACUGGCCAUAAAACUCACCUGCUCUGCAUGAAGCUCAGCCAGGUGACACAGUACUACAGCAAAGGCCUCUGUGUUGUUCUGCUGAACGCCCACAUUCACAGCCUCCAGGCUGUUCAUGCUCAGCAGUGUUUGGGCUUGUUGAAGCGCCAUGGUGCUUGAGCAAGAGAGACAUCUUUUAGCUUUCAAGCAACAAACACCAUUUUUUAAAGUUCAUGUUAUGACUGUGGUCUACAGAAUGAUUUUCUGGGUACUCCAGGGAUCUGGGGGAGAACAAGAACCUUUAAAACAGCUGCUGCCUGGGAACUCCAGACUAUGCAAGCACAUGGAGUACUGCAUACUGAAAGCUACACGUGGUCUAAGUACAGCAAUGCCGAAAACAGGGACACAGGAAUGACUUAGGCACUAUUUGCCACUACUAAAUGGAGACUCAAUCUCUUCUCCAGAAUGGCUUCUAAAUGAACGCAAGAGAAUGGAAGUAAUUGCAUCCAGCCUGUACCAAAUCACAGUCUGAUUGCUUUAUUUUAGUGCGCUGUAGACACACAGUUACUUGUUACACCUAUAUAUAAAUAACUCAAAAUGCAUUAUGUGCUAACAAGUACAGUGCUCUAACCCACGAGUUUAAAAGAGACAAAGUACCUGCGGCCAUAUAAUCUCCAAAUUGCAGUCUUCUGUGCUAUACUGAUAUCAAUAAGCUCUGACAAACUGUGUUUCCAGUGCAACAGAUCAGAAUCUUUCAAGGCAUCCAUUAGUUUGUUGGCAGCCUUUCCUGCAAAAGCUCUUUGCUGAACCAAGGACUGUAUUCCCAAGGAAGCAAGGUACUGGGAAGAGGGAAAAAAAAAUCCAAAACCAUUGAAAGACAAUAGAGAACACUAGAGCAAGAGUCAUAAAUUAAGGAAAAAAAAACCCAAAGAGAUGUGAUAUUAUUCAGCACAGACAAAGGAACACUGCUUCAGGCAUUUCUUUAAAUACAUACACCCACACAUAGAUGAAUGCCAUUUUGAUAGAUACAAAAGGUAACUUCCACACCCCCACACAGUAGCCUUAGAGAGGAUGACUGGACUUGUACCUGGAUUUCUCCAGCAAUUAAACAGCUGUGAAAACAGAGCUUCCCCCUCCUUCCCCACCAAUUGGCCACACCUGCUCUCAUCUCCCAACAACAGGAGCUUCGUUCCUUUUAGAACAGUUCUCACAACAAAGACAUUGCAGCCAACUGAUACAGGGCACAAUACCAUCUAAGGGGGAAGCUGCCAUAAGAGAUUUCACAGCUGGAAUGAAGCCAUAUAAGUAAAUGUGUUCAAAGCCCUGCCAGAGGCAUCAGCGCUCAGUUUCAGAGAAGGCUGAGGCUUAGGAACCUCCCUCGAGCACUAGCAGAUUGCAUGAUGUGCCUAAGUCCUAAAUGGAGCACAGUAACAAACCAGCAGCCACAAAGUUCUCCUGCCUGAAAAAGGACAGGUGAGAAGGCAGAACAGCAAGCCUUGCAAUAAUGCACUCACAAUAAGCAACUGAACCCCGAUUUGUUAAUAUGAAGAUUCAAACUAAAUAGAGGCAGACAGAUUUGUGGAGCAUACGACAGGUUGGUUUAAACCCAAUUACCUAUUUUGUAAUAACAAUUUUGACCAGCCAGAAAGAAAAAAAUACCCCCAAACCCUCCCACACACCCCUCCCACACACGUGUAUUUGUCCUAGAACACAGCUCAAGAGAAAUGAAACGGACUUACCGGCAAACCAAAGUGUAAGGAUUUGUUUACUGAGUGCUCCAGCAGAACACAACUGUCAAAUAUCUUCUGCUCUGAGAUGUGUAACCAGCUCUAAGAAAGAGGUUUCAGAGUAAUGCACAGAAACACCAUUAUAAAGUCAGCUGUGGGAAGCAGCAUCUCCAGAGUCUGAUAAUACUAAUGUUAAUUAUGGAAGAAAAUACAGAGUAAACAAAUUCUUUCCUUCCUCUUUUUUGUUUGCUGAAAAGGCCACCGACUCUGAAAAUCCAGCAGACAGUAAGGAGAAAGUUUAUGAAAUACUUGGUCUCUUUAAAACACACAAGACUAAACUUUGACCUCAGUACUGAGUAACUCUCUGACCACAGCUCCUGAAAGUAACCCUGAAUCACAACAAACCCAUCCCACGAUCUCCAAAUUCUCCAGCAUUUGUUGCUCUGGGUGAUCCAGCACCCACUGUGGGACUGUCAUAUUCAGAUUACUGAUCCAUCUGAUGAGAUGUUACUGAAAGAGUAGUUCUGCAACAGUUCACUGAGCAAAGGCUCAGAUAACACAGACAAAGGUGACCUAACCUCCAUUUCAGCACGGCUAUCUUACCAGGCAGUGCUGCAAACAAACAUGAUCGUUAGACUCCUGUGCAAUCCGGAUGGCUUCCUGAAGUGCAAGUUCAGCUUGUUGACUACCAGCAAACAAAAAAAAAGAGUAUAUUAGCGUUCCCACAGUGCUUAAAAUACAGUAUUACAACAGCAUAGAAUACUGAUCUAAAUUAUGCAUAUUGCACUCUGAAGAAAACUGAUUUAAAAGACUGAAGGAGAAAGCUCCGGUUUCCAUCUAGCAUCAAGCAACACAGGCUAUUCUUGAGGCUAAUGAGCAAGAUGGCAUCUGCAGGCCACUACAAAAAUGCAAUUGUAAUCCCCACGCAGGCUUUCAAUGUGCCAAAGUGCCAGGUUAGUGCUUGAACAGGGGCAACAUUGAGUAUUGGCCUAUGUAGAAAGAGCUGUUAACUUCUCAUCUCCUGCCAUCUCCAGGCCUUCCACUGGGUUCAUCCAGACAGCAGUCAAAAAAUGCAAACCAUAUAUGGAGAUGGGUAGGCCAGCUUUAUCAAUAAAGUUAUACCCACCCCUAGGUGGCUUUUUCAUUAUUCUUUUUCCUGCUCAUCAGCUGUAUAUUGAUUUGUAUAUAACACAAAAACUACAAUAGUUUCUUGAGAACAUAGCUGGAAACAAGCACUUGUGUCCACUGACCUUUCUGAGAUCAUGGAAAUAUAGCAAUGGAGAACUUAAAUUCCUAGGAAACGGCUGCAAUGGGACACUGACAAAUACCAGCUCUUACAGUGCUGUAAGUGGCCCAGUUAUUAUGGAAACCAAAUAAAUGCCAAAACAAAAACAAACCUAAACAAACCAAGAUUACUAGAAAAUUCCAGCCCAACUAUGGCAAAUAUCUAUUAGAGAACUCCCUUCUCCACUCAAACAGAUUUUCACGCUGAACAAAAAGCCUACCUGUCAGUGAUUACAGCACAAAUCUGAGCAGUGCAGCACAACAUACUGACUUACUAAUGGCCAAAGCGACAGUGCAGUGCAGCCAGGUUCAGAGCGGCGUAUCUCAGGCUCCGACCAUAACCCUCAUCCCCAUUGCUUUUGCUUUCUGCUCCGGUGAGAAUCAGACGGUCAAAAUAAUGAAGGAGGCUGUGUGUUGAGCUGAAGACAUCGUGCACUCUGAGACUAUUUAAGUAGCUUAAAUAAUGCUGGAAUUUGAAGAGAAAUCAGCUUUCGCUAAAUAAAAUGAACACAAGUCAUCAAAAUCAGCAGCUAUUUCACCUAACCAUUUUUAGACUAUGGAAACACGAGGCCUGACAUUUGCUUCAGUAAAAAUGAACUGACACAGUCCCACCAAAACGAAGAGGAUUGUAUCUAUGCAUAAAGCUAGGCACGUUGUUAGGCACUCAGCUUCAUUAAGGUUUCUGUACCUUCAGGAGUUUCGGUCCAAAUUACUGAAUAUUUACAUGCAACUUGUUCAUGUUUCCAUCAUCUUCUAGCACAUUUCAAUAUAGAAAAAAAGACACUCUCAAACAAUUCCAUCCUGGAAAUAUGAAGAAAUCCCUUUACAACCAUUCUGGAUGAAGAAAAAGAUACUUACUGCUUCAGCAAAGUCUGGAUUAAAUUUUAACAAGUUGUUCAAUUCCUUUUGUAAAGAUACAGGAGAAAGAGCCUUUGUUUCAUCAUUCUUUAGCAGAGAAGCCUAGAAUCAACAUUGAAACCAACGCUAAGUAACUCCAACUUGAGCAGUACGAAUAUACUUUGGUACAUGACUGUCAUUCUGUUAUCUGCCUGAAGAGAGCAUUAAAGAAGGUUUCAAAACAGCUCUAUUAUGACACUGAAACAUAAGUGGCAGUUUUAUUCUUUGCUAUAUUUUAGCAUUCACUUUCCAGAGAUCAGAGAGCUGGAGUAAAAUAAAAGCAUAUUUGAGGGACUGUUUGAA